UACGAAGGGGGCUAGCGUUGUUCGGAAUUACUGGGCGUAAAGCGCACGUAGGCGGAUAUUUAAGUCGGGGGGUGAAAUCCCAGAGCUCAACUCUGGAACUGCCUUUGAUACUGGGUAUCUCAAGUAUGGAAGAGGUGAGUGGAAUUCCGAGUGUAGAGGUGAAAUUCGUAGAUAUUCGGAGGAACACCAGUGGCGAAGGCGGCUCACUGGUCCAUUACUGACGCUGAGGUGCGAAAGCGUGGGGAGCAAACAGG
rnacentral:rRNA from 1 species